GGGGCAAGGCCAGGUGGCUAUAGAAAAGUAGUGGGAGAUAGAUACAUUAGCCCCAGGUUAAACAAAUCCCUGGUACCAGGAUAAGUAAAUGGCAGCUGCUCCAGGUCAAUUAAGACACCUGGGGCCAAUUAAGAGCUUUCCAGAUGGCAGGGAAGAUGCUAGGUUGAUUGGGACAUCUGAAGCCAAUCAGGGGCUGGCUGAAACUAGUUAAGCCUCCCAGUUAGUCAGGUGGGUGUGCAUGUCAGGAGCUGUGAUAAGUUGCGCUGUUGGAGAGACUGAGCUGCACACACACACACCAGAUCAGGCACAAGGAAGGAGACCCUGAGGAUUUACAUGUUGAGAGUUUCUGGUAUAUGAAGAUGGAAAGUUUCAGCAACAUGGUGCUAACUGUGAAGAAUAUUUCCCCACUGUAUCUGAGCUGAAGGCAUCUUAUACAGAGGCCAGCAGAAAUCAUGGGAUAGAACCACCUGAGCAAAACAACUUGACCUUGGUAUCAGCUCAAAAUCUUGUGGAAAAUAAUCAUGAAUCACUUCCCUCUUUAUUAUUGUUUGCCUUCAGAAACAGCUAACUCAUGGUCUCUUAGGUACAGUCUGAUCUGUGUCCAAGGAAAAUCCACUAAGGGACAAGUUCUGUCUUUGGCUUAUCCAAGUUAUAUAAUUUGAGAGCCUCAUUGAGAGAAGCAACUGGUAGGAAUACUGCCAUCUGCUAACCAAUUGAAUGAGGCCCUGACAAUCCCUGAAAUGGACCAAAGCUUAAGAGACAAAACAACAUGUCAUGCUGCAGCAACAUAACCAUUAAGGGAGGCUGCUAUCUACCAUCUCAAGCAAGCAGCAUUCAGUAAUUAGUGAUGACUGCAGAAGCCAAGAGUUACAACAAUGGACACAUGAAAAAUGGAAUCACAUAAGAAAUCUGUAACUCGGACUAUCUGUGAAGUUGGAUGUGGCUCUCUCUUUCUCUCAAGUCUUGCAAGUGAGGAGACAUUCAUAUAAAUUAGUGAAAAUCCUAUGAAGCCACCUAAUCCAUCCUUCUGUCACUGCAGCAUGGGACUCUGGUCUUUGCAAUAUAGUUUAGAAUACUUGUUCUUCCCAAAUUUCCCCCCCCCCCAUAUAUUACUUCUGGUAAUAGCCCCAUUUAUCGCCCUAUAUAAUUCCUGUCCUUUGGAUCUUGCUUCAUAGAAGGAGGGUCUUCGCUCAGUUCUGGCCUGACCCAUCCCGACAGGAUAGGGCUUGGCAACAGGGGGGCUCAGUGUGGGCAACCCUCCUCCCUCCCACACAUGUGGAGAAUGAGACGUGUCUGUGGCACUCUGUGGCUUUCUCACCAUCAGCUUCUUGUUUUUGGAAGAGAAGGCCUGUCUCAGGCCUGAUGGGCCCCUGGCCUUAUGUUUGACAACUUCAUGACACAGGUAGCAGCUGGUGCAGGAGAGAGAAGUGAAGAUGUUUAGCCCCUUCGCUGUUUGACUGCCUUGUUUAGCUUGCCUACCCAGGUAUAGUGGGGAAGCACAGCCUCCUUCUGGUAUCACUUUCCAGUGAUCCCAUUGCCAGGCAUGGCAGUAAGUGUGGGUGGAAUUCUCUGACCCUGCUCCAGGGGAUUGGUUGGAACUGGGCAUUCACGGCCCAGGUCUGUAAGAACAAUGCACAGCAGGUUAUGGCACUCUGCCUGGGCUCCAUAGCCAUGGAGCCACAGGGUCAGGCUUUGUCUC